CGUUCCUGCGCUGCAGGUGCCACCGGUUCUUGAGAAGGAGCCAGACCUUGAGCCUCUUCUCUCGCAGUUGGGUCUUCACUGCCUGUCCACAAGGCACCAAGUUUCUCCGGUUGCGCUGCCAGAUUGCUCCCUCAUCUGUUUCCACCACGUACGACCUGGGACGUUGCGCUGGACU